CAUAAUUGUAAUUAAAAAAAAUAUUAUUUAGAUAUUUUACAUAUUAUUUUCUUGUAUUAUUUUCUUGUAUCAUUUUUUAUUCACUUUAUGUUUAUAGUUAAACUUUAAAAACAUCUUGUUUUGUUAGUAAUUAGCCCUUUAUCAUGUUUAUUAUUAACCCCUACCCGAACAAGGGGAAUAUUCUUGUUUUUGCUCUGUCCCCUUUCUUAUUUCUGGUCCACCACCCAUCUGACCUCCAAAAUUUCCUCGCAUGCUCUUUUAACUUAAAAUCUGCCAAGGAGAAUAUCAAACUUAUCAUUUAACCAUACAAGGUUACCAGAUUAAUAGGGAC
rnacentral:lncRNA from 1 species